GAUGAACGCUGGCGGCGUGCCUAAUACAUGCCAGUCGAGCGAACAGACGAGGAGCUUGCUCCUCUGACGUUAGCGGCGGACGGGUGAGUAACACGUGGAUAACCUACCUAUAAGACUGGGAUAACUUCGGGAAACCGGAGCUAAUACCGGAUAAUAUAUUGAACCGCAUGGUUCAAUAGUGAAAGACGGUUUUGCUGUCACUUAUAGAUGGAUCCGCGCCGCAUUAGCUAGUUGGUAAGGUAACGGCUUACCAAGGCAACGAUGCGUAGUCGACCUGAGAGGGUGAUCGGCCACACUGGAACUGAGACACGGUCCAGACUCCUACGGGAGGCAGCAGUAGGGAAUCUUCCGCAAUGGGCGAAAGCCUGACGGAGCAACGCCGCGUGAGUGAUGAAGGUCUUCGGAUCGUAAAACUCUGUUAUUAGGGAAGAACAAAUGUGUAAGUAACUAUGCACGUCUUGACGGUACCUAAUCAGAAAGCCACGGCUAACUACGUG
rnacentral:rRNA from 1 species